UAGUUAAAGUGAGAUUGGUGCACCGAAC
rnacentral:piRNA from 1 species